UACGGAGGGUGCAAGCGUUAAUCGGAAUUACUGGGCGUAAAGCGCACGUAGGUGGUUUGCUAAGCUAGCUGUGAAAUCCCCGGGCUCAACCUGGGCACUGCAGUUAGAACUGGCAAGCUAGAGUAGGGUAGAGGGGUGUGGAAUUCCAGGUGUAGCGGUGAAAUUCGUAGAUAUCAAGCGGAACACCGGUGGCGAAGGCGGCCUUCUGGACAGUGACUGACGCUUAAGCGCGAAAGCGUGGGGAGCAAACAGG
rnacentral:rRNA from 1 species